UUACAGCAGGUCACUAUCCCUAAAUACUCGUAUGAAUUAUGGAAGGAAUUGUGUAUAUUCCAGCAGUCACGGCCGUGCUCCUGCACAGCCUUUGAUUUCUCUUGCAGGUGAAAUAUCCACGCACAUGCAGGGCUCAGGUUCCCAAGGUGAAUAUAUUGAUUUAUUUCCUUGGCCUGUGGGAUCCCCAGAGCUCCCCAGAAGCUGUUGGGAUGCUGCAUUCCCACUGAGCAUGGAUGGAUGGAUUUCCCCCGCAGCUCUCUCUGCCCAUGUGAACUUUAGCUCCUCUCAACAAACACUGCCCGAGGUCCCUGCAGUUAAUAGACACUCAGGACUACAGAGGCUCUUUUGUGUGAGACAAGGAUCUUAUCCAGGCUUGGAUCACACGGGGACCUCGGGGUGGGAAGUUCUGCAGCCCACGCCGGGUAAAACCCAUUUUAUUCCCGAGGAAUAGGACUGUUGGUCAAAUUCCCCACACAGAAAAAGGUCGGAAUAACAUCGCCCAGAGCUGUCACUCACUCCUGGAAGCAGAGGAAGGAGGAAACCCGACCUGCACAUGCUUGCACCAUCUGCUGGCAGCAUCUCUGCUGACAGACAUUCCUAGAAGGGAUUCUGGAAUUCCUCAUCCACACUUAGGGACACGAGUCCACCGUUAUAAAGGUUUAAGAUUCAGCAGAGCCAUUUCUGCCAGGUUUUAAGGAAUUACACAGCAAAGUGAUCCCAACACAGCCACCUCGAGCAGGGAACUGCAGAGCCUGUGCUGGCCUCAUCCAGGUUUUGUCCCCACCACAGAGCCAUCCUCUUGGGAAUUUCUGAACUCCCUGCUGGAAUCUCAGCUGAAUGAUGGGAUCCUGUCAGAUUCCUUGCCUAUCCCAGAGACUUG